rnacentral:rRNA from 1 species
GAUCCUGGCUCAGAUUGAACGCUGGCGGAACGCUUUACACAUGCAAGUCGAACGGUAACGCGGUGAGAAGCUUGCUUCUUACCGGCGACGAGUGGCGAACGGGUGAGUAAUACAUCGGAACGUGUCCGCUCGUGGGGGACAACCAGCCGAAAGGUUGGCUAAUACCGCAUGAGUUCUACGGAAGAAGAGGGGGACCCGCAAGGGCCUCUCGCGAGCGGAGCGGCCGAAUGACUGAUUAGCCGGUUGGUGAGGUAACGG